rnacentral:rRNA from 1 species
GCUAUACUGCAGUCGAGCGGACCGAACGAGAGCUUGCUCUUGUUCGGUCAGCGGCAGAGGGGUGAGUAACACGUGGGCAACCUGCCCGCAAGACCGGGAUAACUCCGGGAAACCGGAGCUAAUACCGGAUAACACCAAAGACCGCAUGGUCUUUGGUUGAAAGGCGGCUUCGGCUGUCACUUGCGGAUGGGCCCGCGGCGCAUUACCUAGUUGGGGAGGUAACGGCUCACCAAGGCGACAAUGCGUAGCCGGCCUGAAAGGGUGACCGGCCACACUGGGACUGAAACACGGCCCAAACUCCUACGGGAGGCAGCAGUAGGGAAUCUUCCGCAAUGGACAAAAGUCUGACGGAGCGACCCCCCGUGAGCGAAAAAGGCCUUCGGGUCGUAAAGCUCUGUUGUGAGGGACAAAGGAGCGCCGUUUGAAUAGGGCGGCCCGGUGACGGUACCUCACGAAAAAGCCCCGGCUAACUACUUGCCACCAGCCGCGGUAAUACGUAGGGGGCGAGCGUUGUCCGGAAUUAUUGGGCGUAAAGCGCGCGCAGGCGGUCCUUUAAGUCUGAUGUGAAAGCCCACGGCUCAACCGUGGAGGGUCAUUGGAAACUGGGGGACUUGAGUGCAAGAGAGGAGAGCGGAAUUCCACGUGUAGCGGUGAAAUGCGUAAAGAUGUGGAGGAACACCAGUGGCGAAGGCGGCUCUCUGGCCUGUAACUGACGCUGAGGCGCGAAAGCGUGGGGAGCAAACAGGAUUAGAUACCCUGGUAGUCCACGCCGUAAACGAUGAGUGCUAAGUGUUAGAGGGGUCACACCCUUUAGUGCUGCAGCUAACGCAGAUAAGCACUCCGCCUGGGGAGUACGGUCGCAAG